rnacentral:ncRNA from 1 species
UAAAAGUUUUAUCCUGGCUUGUUCUUUUGCUUUCAGAUUAAUGAUACAUGUAAAAUGUUGUAUGCCUAUAUUGUUUUUAAGUUAAAUAUUUAAAGACAAUGGGAGUUGAGAGGAGUUAAUAAAAUAUUAAUUCGCAGUAUUCGGUACUAAUAUAUAAGUGAUAGCUGGAAUUGGUGAUUCUGAUUGUAUACCUGGUUAAAAUUUGUGCCAGCAGCCGCGGUUAUACUGAGAGGUAAAGUGAAAGAUAUUGGUUAAAAAUACUUAAGUGAAAGAUUUAAUUUGAAGAAAUGGUUUGUAUUAAUAAAGGGUGAAAUCAAUUUUUUAAUGUAUAAUUGAUUUCUUGGAUUAAAGUUAGCUGAAGUUGUUAAGGUUAAGGUAUGAACCAGGAUUAGAUACCCUGUUACACUUUACUUAAAAUUAUAUACCUAGGUAGUAAGCAGUUAUGGUCUUGAAACUUAAAGGAUUUGGCGGUAACUUAGUCUAGUUAGAGGAACCUGUCCUGUAAUCGAUAUACCACGGAGAAUCUUACUUUAUUUUGAAAUUUUCAGUUUAUAUACCGUCAUUAUUAGAUAACUUUAAUAAAAUAAAAGUUAUUGAAAUAAUUUUAAGUUAGUAUAUUAGAUCAAGGUGUAGCUUAUGAUAAAGAAGAGAUGGGUUACAAUAAUAUUAGUUUAUUAACGGAUUAAAGGAGGAAUCACUUUUUUGAAGGAGGAUUUAAAUGUAAGAUUAUUUUAAUAUGAUAAUUUGAUUUUAGCUCUAGGUUAUGUACACAUCGCCCGUCGCUCUCGUUAUAUAAAGCGAGAUAAGUCGUAACAUAGUAGAUGUACCGGAAGGUGUAUCUAGAAGUAU